rnacentral:lncRNA from 1 species
GAAAGAAGGAAGGAAGAAGGAAGGAAGGAAGGAAGGAAGGAAGGAAGGAAGGAAGGAAGGAAGAAGGAAGGAAGGAAGGAAGGAAGGAAGGAACGAAGGAACGAAGGAACGAAGGAAGGAAGGAGGGAAGGAGGGAAGGAAAUAGGAAAGAUGAGUUUGUAUUAUUCUAAAGAUAUUCUACUCCAUCCUGGUUUACACAUAGUGGGAGCCAUAACAAGCUUACAUUCUCUUAAGGCAUUGUUAGCUC